rnacentral:rRNA from 1 species
CCUACGGGUGGCAGCAGUGAGGAAUAUUGGUCAAUGGGCGCGAGCCUGACCCAGCCAAGUCGCGUGAGGGAAGACGGUCCUAUGGAUUGUAAACCUCUUUUGUCGGGGAGCAAAAGACGCCACGCGUGGCGUUCCGAGAGUACCCGAAGAAAAAGCAUCGGCUAAGUCCGUGCCAGCCGCCGCGGUAAUACGGAGGAUGCAAGCGUUAUCCGGAUUUAUUGGGUUUAAAGGGUGCGCAGGCGGAAGAUCAAGUCAGCGGGAAAAUUGAGAGGCUCAACCUCUUCGAGCCGUUGAAACUGGUUUUCUUGAGUGAGCGAGAAGUAUGCGGAAUGCGUGGUGUAGCGGUGAAAUGCAUAGAUAUCACGCAGAACUCCGAUGGCGAAGGCAGAAUACCGGCGCUCAACUGACGCUGAUGCACGAAAGUGUGGGUAUCGAACAGGAUUAGAUACCCCAGUAGUC